CGGGAUGUGGCGCAGUCUGGUAGCGUACGCGCAUGGGGUGCGCGUGGUCGCUGGUUCGAAUCCAGUCAUCCCGACGA
rnacentral:tRNA from 2 species